UUUCUACUCCCUCCGUCCGAAAAUACUUGUCAUCAAAAUGGAUAAAACGAGAUGUAUCUAAAACUAAAAUAUUUCUAGAUACAUUUCCUUUUAUCCAUUUUGAUGACAAGUAUUUCCGGACGGAGGGUGUAUUUG
rfam:Triticum aestivum genome assembly, contig: Triticum_aestivum_CS42_TGACv1_scaffold_717216_T_1DL-0.036700_4BS-0.023229